rnacentral:rRNA from 1 species
UGGGAACGUGCCUUUUGGUUCGGAACAACUGAGGGAAACUUCAGCUAAUACCGGAUAAGCCCUUACGGGGAAAGAUUUAUCGCCAAAAGAUCGGCCCGCGUCUGAUUAGCUAGUUGGUGGGGUAAUGGCCUACCAAGGCUACGAUCAGUAGCUGGUCUGAGAGGAUGAUCAGCCACACUGGGACUGAGACACGGCCCAGACUCCUACGGGAGGCAG